AGAUGUGUAUGGGUUUGAGUCAUUUCC
rnacentral:piRNA from 1 species